UACGUAGGGAGCAAGCGUUGUCCGGAAUCAUUGGGCGUAAAGCGCGCGUAGGCGGCCCGAUAAGUCCGUUGUGAAAGUCAAAGGCUCAACCUUUGAAUGCCGAUGGAUACUGUCGGGCUAGAGUCCGGAAGAGGCGAGUGGAAUUCCUGGUGUAGCGGUGGAAUGCGCAGAUAUCAGGAGGAACACCGAUGGCGAAGGCAGCUCGCUGGGACGGUACUGACGCUGAGGCGCGAAAGCGUGGGGAGCAAACAGG
rnacentral:rRNA from 1 species